UGUAAUAAUAAUUCAUAUGAGCCUCCAGAGCAUUUUGAUAUUAAUGUUAUGUACUUUUAAGGCUUCAUGCUGAUGUUCCAGUUGUUGCUGCAUGGGCAGAGGGGACAUUGUGAAUGAAAGAAGCCAUUUGUUAUACUGUCCACGUCCAACCGACAGAAAAGAAGGCUCCCUUUGAAACGUUUGUGUCUGUUAUGGACUGCUGAGAAGUCGUACACAGGAUGGUGGUGACAGCGGCAUUUUCACAUGUAGGGGUAGUGAAGCAAUAUGACUGGCUGCUGGAAUACAGGAGGCAGAAUCCUCCCACAUCCUCCCUUGAAAACAUCUGCAAGUGUCGGAGAUCCCCAAGUUUUCUAGGCUUGAAUUAUGGACUAUAAUCUCGUCCUGCUUUCGUCGCUCCAUCGCCUCACAAAUUCUCUGAGCUGGAUUAGGCCGUUUCCUUGCAGUUGGAUUAUGUAUCCAUGAAGUGGUAAAUUAGCUGUUGUUACUGAAAUUAUCCAAACAUAAAGAUUUAUCUGAGCUUUGUAUCACUAAAAUAUAUUUUAUAUUCAUUUACUAUUACAUUUACAUUUUAAUUGAGUGAGCCUCACUGUGUGCACACACACACAGUAUUGCACAUUGCUAGUCCGUUUACUAAGCCCUGUCUGGUGAGAUCCUUAUUAUUUUUCCUGGGCUAUAUUUCUUAUUUUCCCUUUACAUCUAUAAAAAGAAGUUCUUAGUGAAGCCCAAAAGAGGAGGCACAAAGACACACUUGUUGCUCCCUAGCGCCUUGAUGGGAGCCAUCCCCGUCUGAUCCUGGAGACAGGAUCCCUGGAACCCAAUCCAUUCCCCUCUCCACCCCUCUGCUCUUAGUC
rnacentral:lncRNA from 1 species